UACGUAGGGUGCAGGCGUUAAUCGGAAUUACUGGGCGUAAAGCGUGCGCAGGCGGUUUUGUAAGCCAGAUGUGAAAUCCCCGGGCUUAACCUGGGAAUGGCAUUUGGGACUGCAAGGCUGGAGUGCGGCAGAGGAGACUGGAAUUCCUGGUGUAGCAGUGAAAUGCGUAGAUAUCAGGAGGAACACCGAUGGCGAAGGCAGGUCUCUGGGCUGACACUGACGCUCAUGCACGAAAGCGUGGGGAGCGAACAAACGGAUUG
rnacentral:rRNA from 1 species